AAACGUUGCCAUUUUUAUUUGUUUUUUUUUUUUUUUAAAAUUGCAAAAUUAAAUGAAAAACAGGGAACACCGCUUUUAACUACAAAAACAUCCAUUCAUUACUGAUGCAAAAUGUUGCAUAAUGAAACACAUGAGAUGGCCCUUACAAUGGACCAUUACGUUUCGGGCAAAACGUAUGGCUUUCAUGCAAACAAAAAUUGAAA
rnacentral:lncRNA from 1 species